rnacentral:rRNA from 1 species
GACGAACCGUGCGAACGUUGUUCGGAAUCACUGGGCUUAAAGGGCGCGUAGGCGGCUCUGUUGGUCGUGGGUGAAAUCCCCCAGCUUAACUGGGGAACUGCCUACGAUACCGCGGAGCUCGAGGGAGGAAGGGGCGGCCGGAACUGUCGGUGGAGCGGUGAAAUGCGUUGAUAUCGACAGGAACGCCGGUGGCGAAAGCGGGCCGCUGGCCCUCUUCUGACGCUGAGGCGCGAAAGCCAGGGGAGCGAACGGG